rnacentral:tRNA from 1 species
GCCGAAGUGGCGGAAUUGGUAGACGCGCCAGGUUCAGGACCUGGUGGGGUCACACCCGUGCUGGUUCGAGUCCAGUCUUCGGCACCA